GAUGAAUGCUGGCGGCGCGCCUAAUACAUGCAAGUCGAGCGAAGCGGGGACGGGUGAGUAACACGUGGAUAACCUCCUAUAAGACUGGGAUAACUUCGGGAAACCGGAGCUAAACCGGAUACUUAGAGAUGGAUACGCGCUGCAUUAGCUAGUUGGUAAGGGAACGGCUUACCAAGGCAACGAUGCAUAGCCGACCUGAGAGUGUGAUCAGCCACACGGGACCGGAGACACGGUCCCGACUCCUGCGGGAGGCAGCAGUAGGGAAUCUUCCGCAAUGGGCGAAAGCCUGACGGAUCGACGCCGCCUGAGUGAGGAAGGUCUUCGGAUCGUAAAACUCUGUUAUUAGGUAAGCGGUACCUAAUCAGAAGGCCACGACUAGCUACGUGCCAGCAGCCGCGGUAAUUC
rnacentral:rRNA from 1 species